CCCAGGCACAUUGUGACUCCUCUCUGUGAACUGACAUGGGGGUGUUUUUAUAGAGGACUCACCGGUGAGGUGACUCUGAAGUCAUUGCCAAAGGAAAAUGACAACGAUUAUCCUGAAGGUGAGAUGAGAAAGAGCUGCUCCAAGGUCAAGGUUGUGAACAACAAAGGAACGGUUAUCUUUUUAAGGUCUUCCUCCAAGCUUUUGCGGACAAAGACAAAUUAUUUUUAAAAAGGAGCCAGUACAGAGGCACCUGGAAGAGUGAGCGUGCUGUUGCCAGGCUCCUUCCCAAGAACUACACUCAGCAUCUCAGCAUCAGGCUGCCAUAGCUUUGAACUAUGAGCUAUGAACUCAUAGUAUGAACUACGUAUCUGUGAGCAUCUGUGCUUUAUCUCGAUUUAUUUUGUGCAUCUGUUAGAAAGAUGUGUCACGAAGUAAUUGCUUCUUCAUACAAAAGUACAAAACGUUGUACUUUUGGACUGCGGGGAAUUCUGUACCUGAGCUUGAGUGAUUUGGGGGACUUCCCUGGUGGCACAGUGAUUAAGAAUCCACCUGCCAACGCAGAGGACGCUGGUUCGAGCCCUGGUCCAGGAAGAUCCCACAUGCCGCGGAGCAACUAAGCCAGUGCGCCACAACUACUGAGCCUGCGCUCCAGAGCCCACGAGCCACAACUACUGAGCCUGCAUGCCGCAACUACUGAAGCCCACAUGCCUAGAGCCCGUGCUCCGCAACAAGAGAAGCCACCGCAAUGAGAAGUCCGCACACCGCAGCAAAGAGUAGCCCCCGCUCGCCGCAACUGGAGAAAGCCCACGCACAGCAACAAAGACCCAAUGCAGCCAAAAAUAAAUUUUAAAAAUUAAAAAAAAA